GUGUCAGCCGCCGCGGUAAUACGUAGGGUGCGAGCGUUGUCCGGAAUUACUGGGCGUAAAGAGCUCGUAGGCGGUUUGUCGCGUCGUCUGUGAAAUCCCGCAGCUCAACUGCGGGCUUGCAGGCGAUACGGGCAGACUCGAGUACUGCAGGGGAGACUGGAAUUCCUGGUGUAGCGGUGAAAUGCGCAGAUAUCAGGAGGAACACCGGUGGCGAAGGCGGGUCUCUGGGCAGUAACUGACGCUGAGGAGCGAAAGCGUGGGUAGCGAACAGGAUUAGAAACCCGAGUAGUCC
rnacentral:rRNA from 1 species